AACCCAUGGUGAGGGCAGCUUCUCAAUAAGUCCUUAUACCUCUCCCAUGCAUCAUAUAAGAUCUCUUAGUCGAUCUAAAUGAAGGAAGAGAUAUCAUUCCUCAACUU
rfam:Gossypium raimondii Chr04_contig_285, whole genome shotgun sequence.